GUGACAUAAUGUGUGGAGGUACAAUGAUAAAGGAAUGGUUCAAUAAUCGGAGUGAGAAAGUUUAGGACAAUUUAGGGCCCAGGAAGAAGAACACCUACCGUCAAUCCUUAUCAUCUAUGAUGGAGAUGCAAGGACAUCUUUUGAGCCAUCUCAUAAAUUCAACCACUCGUUUCUUUUAUCAGGUUUUCUCUCAAUCAUCUCCUUUUUUUUCUUUUUCUUUUUUUCUCUUUUUGUGGCUGCUAUACCCAUUUUAAUUUCAAUAUCUUCAUGGGUUUAUUAUCAUUUUUCCACUAUUAAUUUUAAUUCUUAUAUUUAUAUACUGUCCAUUUUUUGAUAAUUAAUAAAAUAUUUAAUCUUCAAACAAAAAUAGUAAUAAUUAAUAAACUAUACCUAGC
rnacentral:lncRNA from 1 species